rnacentral:ncRNA from 1 species
UCAUUUGAGAGUUUGAUCCUAGCUCAGGAUGAACGCUGGCGGCGUGGAUAAGGCAUGCAAGUCAUACGGCCCUGCCAUUCAUAUAGUAAUAUAUGGAAGGCGGGGUAGUGGCAAACGGGGUAGUAAUACGCAUUUACGUGCCGUUAACACGAGCAUAAUUCCGCGAAAGCGGAACUAAUUCUCGAUAGUCCCCAAGAGCAAUCAAGGGGUAAAGGCGAAAGCCGGUUGGCGAGCGGAGUGCGGCCUAUCAGCUAGUUGGCAGGGUAACGGCCUACCAAGGCGAUGACGGGUAGGGGGCGUGAGAGCGCGUUCCCCACCAAUGGCACUGAGACACGGGCCAUACACCUACGGGUGGCAGCAGCCGAGAAUCUUCCACAAUGGGCGAAAGCCUGAUGGAGCGACGCCGCGUGACCGAGGAAGCUCUUCGGAGCGUAAAGGUCUUUUGUAACGGAGAAAGCCCCGCUUUUGGCGGGGUUGAUAGUACGUUGCG